rnacentral:tRNA from 1 species
GUAAUGAAAUCAGGCGGAAUACGUGCCGGCUCGAUCUCUCGUGCCGGUAACCCGGGUUCGAAUCCCGGUGGGAUCACCA